AGUUUGAUCAUGUGUCAGAUUGAACGCUGGCGGCAGGCGUAACACAUCCAAGUUGAACGGUAACAGGAAACAGCUUGCUGAUUCGUUGAAGAGUGGCGGACGGGUGAGUAAUGUCUGGGAAACUGCGUGAUGGAGGGGGAUAACACUGGAAACGGUAGCUAAUACCGCAUAACGUCGCAAGACCAAAGAGGGGGACCUUCGGGCCUCUUGCCAUCGGAUGUGCCCAGAUGGGAUUAGCUUGUUGGUGGGGUAAUGGCUCACCAAGGCGACGAUCCCUAGCUGGUCUGAGAGGAUGACCAGCCACACUGGAACUGAGACACGGUCCAGACUCCUACGGGAGGCAGCAGUGGGGAAUAUUGCACAAUGGGCCCAAGCCUGAUGCAGCCAUGCCGCGUGUAUGAAGAAGGCCUUCGGGUUGUAAAGUACUUUCAGCGGGGAGGAAGGGAGUAAAGUUAAUACCUUUGCUCAUUGACGUUACCCGCAGAAGAAGCACCGGCUAAC
rnacentral:rRNA from 1 species